GCGGAGGAAAAGAAACCAACAGGGAUUGCCUUAGUAGCGGCGAGUGAAGCGGCAAAAGCUCAAAUUUGAAAUCUGGCUCUUUCAGAGUCCGAGUUGUAAUUUGAAGAAGGUAUCUUUGGGUCUGGCUCUUGUCUAUGUUUCUUGGAACAGAACGUCACAGAGGGUGAGAAUCCCGUGCGAUGAGAUGAUCCAGGCCUAUGUAAAGUUCCUUCGAAGAGUCGAGUUGUUUGGGAAUGCAGCUCUAAGUGGGUGGUAAAUUCCAUCUAAAGCUAAAUAUUGGCGAGAGACCGAUAGCGAACAAGUACAGUGAUGGAAAGAUGAAAAGAACUUUGAAAAGAGAGUGAAAAAGUACGUGAAAUUGUUGAAAGGGAAGGGCUUGAGAUCAGACUUGGUAUUUUGUAUGUUACUUCUUCGGGGGUGGCCUCUACAGUUUAUCGGGCCAGCAUCAGUUUGGGCGGUAGGAGAAUUGCGUUGGAAUGUGGCACGGCUUCGGUUGUGUGUUAUAGCCUUCGUCGAUACUGCCAGCCUAGACUGAGGACUG
rnacentral:rRNA from 1 species